rnacentral:piRNA from 1 species
UGGGCUGGUGACGUCUAUGAUUUUACAUA